AUUGAACGCUGCGGCAGGCUUAACACAUGCAAGUCGAGCGAGCGGCGGACGGGUAAGUGAUGCUUAGGAAUAUGCCUAUUAGUGGGGGACAACAUCCCGCAAGGGAUGCUAACACCGCAUACGAAUCGAUGAGACUAAGUCGGAUUGGCUAGUUGGGGGGGUAAAGGACUACCAAGGCGAAGAUCUGUAGCGGGUCUGAGAGGAUGAUCCGCCACAUUGGGACUGAGAAACGGCCCCAACUCCUACGGGAGGCAGCAGUGGGGAAUAUUGCGCAAUGGGGGGAACUCUGACGCAGCAAUGCCGCGUGGGGGAAGAAGGCCUUAUGGUUGUAAAGCACUUUUAGCGAGGAGGCGGUACCCGCAUAAUAAGCAACGGCUAACUCCGUGCCAGCAGCCGCGGUAAUAC
rnacentral:rRNA from 1 species